UACGAAGGGGGCUAGCGUUGCUCGGAAUUACUGGGCGUAAAGGGCGCGUAGGCGGAUAGUUUAGUCAGAGGUAAAAGCCCAGGGCUCAACCUUGGAACUGCCUUUGAUACUGGCUAUCUUGAGUUCGGGAGAGGUAAGUGGAACUGCGAGUGUAGAGGUGAAAUUCGUAGAUAUUCGCAAGAACACCAGUGGCGAAGGCGGCUUACUGGUCCGGUUCUGACGCUGAGGCGCGAAAGCGUGGGGAGCAAACAGG
rnacentral:rRNA from 1 species